UACGUAGGGGGCGAGCGUUGUCCGGAUUUAUUGGGCGUAAAGAGCGUGUAGGCGGCUUGGUAGGUCUGCUGUGAAAACUCGGGGCUCAACCCCGAGACGUCGGUGGAAACCAUCUGGCUAGAGUCCGGAAGAGGAGAGUGGAAUUCCUGGUGUAGCGGUGAAAUGCGCAGAUAUCAGGAAGAACACCCGUGGCGAAGGCGGCUCUCUGGGACGGUACUGACGCUGAGACGCGAAAGCGUGGGGAGCGAACAGG
rnacentral:rRNA from 1 species